AUUGAACGCUGGCGGCAGGCCUAACACAUGCAAGUCGAGCGGAUGAAGGGAGCUUGCUCCUGGAUUCAGCGGCGGACGGGUGAGUAAUGCCUAGGAAUCUGCCUGGUAGUGGGGGAUAACGUCCGGAAACGGGCGCUAAUACCGCAUACGUCCUGAGGGAGAAAGUGGGGGAUCUUCGGACCUCACGCUAUCAGAUGAGCCUAGGUCGGAUUAGCUAGUUGGUGGGGUAAAGGCCUACCAAGGCGACGAUCCGUAACUGGUCUGAGAGGAUGAUCAGUCGCACUGGAACUGAGACACGGUCCAGACUCCUACGGGAGGCAGCAGUGGGGAAUAUUGGACAAUGGGCGAAAGCCUGAUCCGGCCAUGCCGCGUGUGUGAAGAAGGUCUUCGGAUUGUAAAGCACUUUAAGUUGGGAGGAAGGGCAGUAAGUUAAUACCUUGCUGUUUUGACGUUACCAACAGAAUAAGCACCGGCUAACUUCGUG
rnacentral:rRNA from 1 species